UUUAUAUGAGAGUUUGAUCCUGGCUCAGGAUAAACGCCGGCGGUGUGCCUAAUACAUGCAAGUCGUACGCACUGGCCCAACUGAUUGAUGGUGCUUGCAUCUGAUUGACGAUGGAUCACCAGUGAGUGGCGGACGGGUGAGUAACACGUAGGUAACCUGCCCCGGAGCGGGGGAUAACAUUUGGAAACAGAUGAUAAUACCGCAUAACAACAAAAGCCGCAUGGCUUUUGUUUGAAAGAUGGCUUUGGCUAUCACUCUGGGAUGGACCUGCGGUGCAUUAGCUAGUUGGUAAGGUAAAGGCUUACCAAGGCGAUGAUGCAUAGCCGAGUUGAGAGACUGAUCGGCCACAAUGGAACUGAGACACGGUCCAUACUCCUACGGGAGGCAGCAGUAGGGAAUCUUCCACAAUGGGCGCAAGCCUGAUG
rnacentral:rRNA from 2 species